CGCCGUUUUCCUUCAGCAAAAAAUACACAAAAUGAACGCCCAAAAAAGACCCUAAGGCUGACAAAAAGUUGCGCCGGAUUUUCAGCAAAAAACCAGGAAAACCCCCCUCUGGUCAUGGUUCCCUUCAUGCUUGAGCUUCGGCAGCCAUAAACGACCAGGACCUUCCCCCAAACUUCAUCCUCUUCGAGACCCCAAACCCGUCGACCAACCCCUGCUCCUCCACCUCAACCAGACCAACAGUCCAGACCUGCACAAAUCUGGCAAACCAAUGUUUUACAGUGAGUUUUUGAAUAAGUUGAGGAUGGUUUCAGUUGAGUUCGGCGAGGUGCGGCAUUUGGAUUUGUCGAGGUCUUGUUUGCCAGUCUUUGUCUGAGUUUGAAUUGGCAGAAAACAGGGAAAGAAAAUUUUGCCAUAUUAAGAUUCAGGCGUUGCAGAUCCUGCUAGUGCGAGGUGAGAGAUCCUGGAAGAUAUCAGAGUCCACGAGGUAGAUGCUUGAUGUCUGCAGUCCCGUGUCUCUCCCUCUUUAUCAUUUCUAUCUCAUAUCAGACAUUUGUGAUAGUUUAUAGACUUUUCAGACUUGUAUUAGGUUUUAUAGAUGCUCAUGACUAAUGACACCAUGAUUUUGGGCUGUGUUGGGUUAUUCUUCCGCGUAUUUAUGACAUUAUCUACUACUUUGGAUUAUUUAA